rnacentral:rRNA from 1 species
AUUGAACGCUGGCGGCAUGCCUUACACAUGCAAGUCGAACGGUAACAGGUCUUCGGAUGCUGACGAGUGGCGAACGGGUGAGUAAUACAUCGGAACGUGCCUAGUAGUGGGGGAUAACUACUCGAAAGAGUGGCUAAUACCGCAUGAGAUCUACGGAUGAAAGCAGGGGAUCGCAAGACCUUGUGCUACUAAAGCGGCCGAUGGCAGAUUAGGUAGUUGGUGGGAUAAAAGCUUACCAAGCCGACGAUCUGUAGCUGGUCUGAGAGGACGAUCAGCCACACUGGGACUGAGACACGGCCCAGACUCCUACGGGAGGCAGCAGUGGGGAAUUUUGGACAAUGGGCGCAAGCCUGAUCCAGCAAUGCCGCGUGCAGGAUGAAGGCCUUCGGGUUGUAAACUGCUUUUGUACGAAACGAAAAGCCCUGGGUUAAUACCCUGGGGUCAUGACGGUACCGUAAGAAUAAGCACCGGCUAACUACGUGCCAGCCGCCGCGGUAAUAC